rnacentral:pre_miRNA from 1 species
GAUAUACUCCCUCCGUUCCUAAAUAUAAGUCUUUAAAGAAGUUUCAUUAGAGGACUACAUACGGAUGUCCGUAUGUAGUCCUCUAAUGAAACUUCUUUAAAGACUUAUAUUUAGGAACGGAGGGAGUAUAUC